UGGGGAAUAUUGCACAAUGGGCGCAAGCCUGAUGCAGCCAUGCCGCGUGUGUGAAGAAGGCCUUCGGGUUGUAAAGCACUUUCAGCGGGGAGGAAGGCGUUAAGGUUAAUAACCUUGGCGAUUGACGUUACCCGCAGAAGAAGCACCGGCUAACUCCGUGCCAGCAGCCGCGGUAAUACGGAGGGUGCAAGCGUUAAUCGGAAUUACUGGGCGUAAAGCGCACGCAGGCGGUCUGUCAAGUCGGAUGUGAAAUCCCCGGGCUCAACCUGGGAACUGCAUUCGAAACUGGCAGGCUAGAGUCUUGUAGAGAGGGGUAGAAUUCCAGGUGUAGCGGUGAAAUGCGUAGAGAUCUGGAGAAAUACCGGUGGCGAAGGCGGCCCCCUGGACAAAGACUGACGCUCAGGUGCGAAAGCGUGGGGAGCAAACAGG
rnacentral:rRNA from 1 species